rnacentral:rRNA from 1 species
AUUGAACGCUGGCGGCAGGCCUAACACAUGCAAGUCGAACGAGAGGCGGACGGGUGAGUAAUGUCUGGGAAACUGCCUGAUGGAGGGGGAUAACUACUGGAACCGGUAGCUAAUACCGCAUACCAUCGGAUGUGCCCAGAUGGGAUUAGCUAGUAGGUGGGGUAAAGGCUUACCUGGGCGACGAUCCCUAGCUGGUCUGAGAGGAUGACCAGCCACACGGGAACUGAGAUACGGUCCAGCCUCCUACGGUAGGCAGCAGUGGGGAAUAUUGCACACUGGGCGCAAGCCUGAUGCAGCCAUGCCGCGUGUAUGAAGAAGGCCUUCGGGUUGGAAAGUACGUUCAGCGGGGAGGCGUUACCCGCAGAAGAAGCACCGGCUAACUCCGUGCCAGCAGCCGCGGUAAUAC